rnacentral:rRNA from 1 species
CCCUUAGAUGCUCUGGGCCGCACGCGCGCUACACUGGUCGAUGCAACGAGUUUCUUUCCUUGGCCGACAGGCCUGGGCAAUCUUUGAACAUCGAUCGUGAUCGGGAUAGAUUCUUGUAAUUUUUGAUCUUAACCGAGGAAUUCCUAGUAAACGCAAGUCAUCAGCUUGCAUUGAUUACGUCCCUGCCCUUUGUACACACCGCCCGUCGCACCUACCGAUUGAAUGGUCCGGUGAAAUCUCCGGACUGGCGUGAGUCGGAGCAAUCUGACAAACGCCGGAAAGUUGAUUAAACCUUACCAUUUAGAGGAAGGUGAAGUCGUAACA